rnacentral:rRNA from 1 species
ACGUACACUCCUGCGGGAGGCAGCAGUAGGGAAUCUUCGGCAAUGGGGGCAACCCUGACCGAGCAACGCCGCGUGAGUGAAGAAGGUUUUCGGAUCGUAAAGCUCUGUUGUAAGUCAAGAACGAGUGUGAGAGUGGAAAGUUCACACUGUGACGGUAGCUUACCAGAAAGGGACGGCUAACUACGUGCCAGCAGCCGCGGUAAUACGUAGGUCCCGAGCGUUGUCCGGAUUUAUUGGGCGUAAAGCGAGCGCAGGCGGUUUGAUAAGUCUGAAGUUAAAGGCUGUGGCUCAACCAUAGUUCGCUUUGGAAACUGUCAAACUUGAGUGCAGAAGGAGAGAGUGGAAUUCCAUGUGUAGCGGUGAAAUGCGUAGAUAUAUGGAGGAACACCGGUGGCGAAAGCGGCUCUCUGGUCUGUAACUGACGCUGAGGCUCCAAAGCGUGUGGAGCGAACAGGAUUACAUACCCGUGUAGUCCC